rnacentral:rRNA from 1 species
CCUACGGGCUGCUGCAGUGGGGAAUAUUGGACAAUGGGCGAAAGCCUGAUCCAGCCAUGCCGCGUGUGUGAAGAAGGCCUUCGGGUUGUAAAGCACUUUCAGUGGGGAAGAAAGCCUUGGGGCUAAUACCCUCGAGGAAGGACAUCACCCACAGAAGAAGCACCGGCUAACUCCGUGCCAGCAGCCGCGGUAAUACGGAGGGUGCGAGCGUUAAUCGGAAUUACUGGGCGUAAAGCGCGCGUAGGCGGUCUGAUAAGCCGGUUGUGAAAGCCCCGGGCUCAACCUGGGAACGGCAUCCGGAACUGUCAGGCUAGAGUGCAGGAGAGGAAGGUAGAAUUCCCGGUGUAGCGGUGAAAUGCGUAGAGAUCGGGAGGAAUACCAGUGGCGAAGGCGGCCUUCUGGACUGACACUGACGCUGAGGUGCGAAAGCGUGGGUAGCAAACAGGAUUAGAUACCCUUGUAGUC